GGGGGAUAACGUUCGGAAACGGACGCUAAUACCGCAUACGUCCUACGGGAGAAAGCAGGGGACCUUCGGGCCUUGCGCUAUCAGAUGAGCCUAGGUCGGAUUAGCUAGUUGGUGGGGUAAUGGCUCACCAAGGCGACGAUCCGUAACUGGUCUGAGAGGAUGAUCAGUCACACUGGAACUGAGACACGGUCCAGACUCCUACGGGAGGCAGCAGUGGGGAAUAUUGGACAAUGGGCGAAAGCCUGAUCCAGCCAUGCCGCGUGUGUGAAGAAGGUCUUCGGAUUGUAAAGCACUUUAAGUUGGGAGGAAGGGCAGUAAAUUAAUACUUUGCUGUUUUGACGUUACCGACAGUAUAAGCACCGGUUAACUCUGUGCCAGCAGCCGCGGUAAUACGAAUCACUAGUGAAUUCGCGGCCGCCUGCAGGUCGACCAUAUGGGAG
rnacentral:rRNA from 1 species